rnacentral:rRNA from 1 species
UACGAAGGGUGCAAACGUUGCUCGGAAUUAUUGGUCGUAAAGCGCACGUAGGCGGCUUAGCAAGUCGGAAGUGAAAUCCCUCGGCUCAACCAAGGAAGUGCUUUCGAAACUGCUGAGCUUGAGUACUUAAGAGGAUCGCGGAAUUCCCGGUGUAGAGGUGAAAUUCGUAGAUAUCGGGAGGAACACCAGUGGCGAAGGCGGCGAUCUGGGAAGAUACUGACGCUGAGGUGCGAAAGCGUGGGGAGCAAACAGA